rnacentral:rRNA from 1 species
GACGAACGCUGGCGGCGUGCUUAACACAUGCAAGUCGAACGGAAAGGCCCUGCUUUUGUGGGGUGCUCGAGUGGCGAACGGGUGAGUAACACGUGAGUAACCUGCCCUUGACUUUGGGAUAACUUCAGGAAACUGGGGCUAAUACCGGAUAGGAGCUCCUGCUGCAUGGUGGGGGUUGGAAAGUUUCGGCGGUUGGGGAUGGACUCGCGGCUUAUCAGCUUGUUGGUGGGGUAGUGGCUUACCAAGGCUUUGACGGGUAGCCGGCCUGCGAGGGUGACCGGCGACAUUGGGACUGAGAGACGGCACAGACUGCUACGGGAGGCAGCAGUGGGGAAUAUUGCACAAUGGGCGGAAGCCUGAUGCAGCAACGCCGCGUGCGGGAUGACGGCCUUCGGGUUGUAAACCGCUUUCGCCUGUGACGAAGCGUGAGUGACGGUAAUGGGUAAAGAAGCACCGGCUAACUACGUG